UCACAAAUCAACCAACACGCGUAUCAAACGAUCAUAAUACAAUGAAAUGAGAAUGAGAAUUGAGAAAUUGGCCUUUUAUUGAUGAACAAAAUUAAAAAUUGCAAAUCAACCAGGAAAAACAAAGCAAUAAUCCUUGGACCGAAACACUAAAAUUACAAACCGAAACCUCAAAUCGACACCGAAAAGCAGCUCAGUCAAACGAUAAACUAAAUUGCGCAAGAUUUCAUAGAUUUCAGCCGGCAAGCCGUUGAUACUGUAUUUCCUGCAGUAUCUGUUCGAGAUCUGGUAUAGCAACAAAGUAGCCUUCUACAUUCAACGAUUUAGGAGGAACGAAACAGCGGCUUCUUUGCCUUUUGAAUUGAAAAAAUGUGUUUCAUUUUGGAAUUGCUGUCAUUCACCUUUUCUGUUGUCUUCAAUCGGAGACAAUCGUCUCCUUCCCUUUAAUGGAAUAUGCCGUUUUCUUUUUCGUUUCUUAUCCUAGGUAUAGCUCAUUUUUUGGGGGGGUUUUGUUUUUUCCAAAUCUGAUGGAAACGGCAGUCUCUUUUCUUGCGCAGCUGAAGCUCUUUUGUAUAAGAGUGUAUGGUGUAUUUUAGGUGUAGAUAUUAUUAAAUAAGGUAGGAAUUAGGGUAGGAGAAUAGGCUUAGGUUAU
rnacentral:lncRNA from 1 species